GACGAACGCUGGCGGCGUGCCUAAUACAUGCAAGUCGAACGGCACCCACCUCCGGGUGGAAGCGAGUGGCGAACGGCUGAGUAACACGUGGAGAACCUGCCCCCUCCCCCGGGAUAGCCGCCCGAAAGGACGGGUAAUACCGGAUACCCCGGGGUGCCGCAUGGCACCCCGGCUAAAGCCCCGACGGGAGGGGAUGGCUCCGCGGCCCAUCAGGUAGACGGCGGGGUGACGGCCCACCGUGCCGACAAAGGGUAGCCGGGUUGAGAGACCGACCGGCCAGAUUGGGACUGAGACACGGCCCAGACUCCUACGGGAGGCAGCAGUGGGGAAUCUUGCGCAAUGGGGGGAACCCUGACGCAGCGACGCCGCGUGCGGGACGGAGGCCUUCGGGUCGUAAACCGCUUUCAGCAGGGAAGAGAAGAGACUGUACCUGCAGAAGAAGCCCCGGCUAACUACGUGCCAGCCGCCGCCGUAA
rnacentral:rRNA from 1 species